GGCACGGCUGCGGAGAGGCGGUCCUUUGAAGAUGCGCGACGUUCUCAGUUCCUGUGAAUGAGAUUCCAAAAGACAAGUCCUUCCCACUCCCUAACUCCAUCGAUCAAGAAGUUUCUCCUGAAGGUAUGGACUCGAUCCGGAGCCAGUGAUAAAUGAGUGCCUACUGGCUGAAUAUGAAUGUGUCCAGGUCUUCUCAGUGCUCCCUGUGGACCCCAGAAGGAACCUGCUUGUAUUGCAAGGCCUGAAAUGCUGUGUGCUGCCUUGACUUCUCUGAGCUUCACAGAGCCCCACCUUGCUCUUAUCAGACAUGUCCCCACCCAGCGGGAAACUCUCUCCUCCUGGCUAGUCCCCCUCCCAGCUGGACCAGCUGCUCCCCAUUCGGUUCUCCAUCUAAUGGUUUCACCUCCCAGCCAGCCUGUGGAAUUAUUCAAACAAGCCAAUCACAUUCUCCCUUGGAGACCAGGGGCACCCCACCCUUCAGUUAGUAAAUGUGUGUUAUCUACAGCCUCUGUGGGUUCCCUGUGCUCCCGAGUGCAGCCCCAGAUGGCCCUGUGUCAUGUGCAGUGUCUUCCCCCUGGCUGCUGGAUUUUCCAGCAACAGGCACCAUGAUGGAGUUUGAUGUACGGAAACCUCAAGACUUUCUCCUGCCCCAGCCUCUGCUGACCACAACCACGCAAGGGACCUGGAGGAGUGCCAUCUAGCUGAGCUCUGGAACCAUGAAAAUAAUAAAAAUAAAUGAUUAUUGUUUAACACUCUCAGGUUGGAGUGGCUUGUUGAGCAGUAAUAGAUGCUUGGAUCACUGAUCACUUAGGCGUCUCUUUUGGCGAUUUGGAAGAUCACGAGGGCCAUAAGCCAUGCUCUUUAAGAGGGCUGGUGGUAGGAGGUACCCAGGCUGCCAUAACUUCCCACCAGACCUGCAUGCCAGGCUUCAGGAUGGCCAGGGACCUUGGGCUAUGGGAUUCCUCUGGCUGGACCCCUUGCCUGGGGAGGCAUUGGCUGCUUGGCCCUUGGGGAAAAACCCACCCUUCCUCCUCCGGCAGAGCUGGGAAGAUAUCCAGGGCCAGCUGUGUGCUUUGGAAAGCUACUCCUGUGGUUCCUCGUCUCUCUCCCCUGUGCGGGAGUGUAAGAUUAACCUCCAGUUUUAUACCCUGGAACUCCAAGUACCAUACAAGUUUCAGUGUUUUUCAGGUGCAAGUUCUUUGUUUGGCUUUAGCAAAUGAGUACAAUAACAAGCUGGAAUAUGCAGGUCCUCAGGGGGGU